rnacentral:lncRNA from 1 species
UUGUGUUCAUUCCCUCAAUCUCUCUGUGUUCAAGCUCUCUCUCUGUCCCUAGCUCUACAUCUCUGUGUUGAUCUCUUUUGUUUUGAAACUACAUGUCACUUUCUCCAUCCCACCUACUGCUGGGCCAAAGGGAUUCGUAACACCUCCCCUCAGCAGCCUCAUGUGUUUAAUACUGAGCUGGAGGAGAUUCCAAGGCUGUGAUGCUUCGAGUUUCCACUGCCAUCUACUGGGUCAAUGUGGCAACUGCACACAGUUGUCUAUUUUCCCUCGUAACAUGUGCUGCUGAUGAGCUGGUUGCUGACAGGCGGGACCUGGGGCUGGCUGAGGGUCAAUCUCAUCCUCUUCUUCCAACUCACUGUCAGACUCCGAAUUGACAGAGACAUGAUCCUCAUAUUCGGAAAGUGGAAGACGCUCCUUCCACAUUAGCUUCUCUCUCUGCAGAAAUUAUUUCCAAGGUCCUCUCUGAGCAGAGAUUAUUUUUUGCCGUACUGUUCGAUUGUGGUAAGAAGCCACACAUGCAAAGCUAUUUAUUUGUUUGUGUCCCUUCCUUAAUUAACACCUGGCUGGGAUAGUGUGGGAAAAUACUGACUUUUUUUUACAAUGUAUCGAAAUAACAUUGUGCAGGUUCCUGCAAGACGUUGUGUAGUUUCACUACAAAGGGUAAAGAGUGGGAGAAAGGCAGGGAGACAGACAGACAGACAGGCAGGGAGACAGACAGACAGGCAGGGAGACAGACAGACAGGCAGGGAGACAGACAGACAGGCAGGGAGACAGACAGACAGGCAGGGAGACAGACAGACAGACAGGGAGACAGACAGACAGGCAGGCAGGGAGACGGGCAGGGAGAC